CACGUAGGCGGGUCUUUAAGUCGGGGUGAAAUCCUGGAGCUCAACUCCAGAACUGCCUUCGAUACUGAGGAUCUCGAGUCCGGGAGAGGUGAGUGGAACUCCGAGUGUAGAGGUGAAAUUCGUAGAUAUUCGGAAGAACACCAGUGGCGAAGGCGGCUCACUGGCCCGGUACUGACGCUGAGGUGCGAAAGCGUGGGGAGCAAACA
rnacentral:rRNA from 1 species